UUUAAAUGACAUACUUUUUCGUCAUACAAAAAUUCAUGUUCAUAAAGCUACCAGUAGCACAAUCAUUUAACAUUUGUACCACUUUUAAGUUCUAGAACCAAUGCAUAAAACAAGAACUUUUGUGCCAUCGAGAGAUAUCAAACAUGUCACGAACUUUAAGGUCAACUUUAAUUUCAAGAAUAUAUCCUUCAAGUCUUUUUCAUCCGUUUCUUUAAGUGAGUAUACAAAUAUCAAUAUAAUUUCAUAUUGUUUACCGGGCAUAUGAAUAUGACAGAUUUGAUCAUUUAAUGGAGUAAAUUUCUUU